UCCUGGCUCAGAUUGAACGCUGGCGGCAUGCCUUACACAUGCAAGUCGAACGGUAACAGGUCUUCGGAUGCUGACGAGUGGCGAACGGGUGAGUAAUACAUCGGAACGUGCCCAGACGUGGGGGAUAACGAGGCGAAAGCUUUGCUAAUACCGCAUACGAUCUAAGGAUGAAAGCAGGGGACCGCAAGGCCUUGCGCGUUUGGAGCGGCCGAUGGCAGAUUAGGUAGUUGGUGGGAUAAAAGCUUACCAAGCCGACGAUCUGUAGCUGGUCUGAGAGGACGACCAGCCACACUGGGACUGAGACACGGCCCAGACUCCUACGGGAGGCAGCAGUGGGGAAUUUUGGACAAUGGGCGAAAGCCUGAUCCAGCAAUGCCGCGUGCAGGAUGAAGGCCUUCGGGUUGUAAACUGCUUUUGUACGGAACGAAAAGGCUCUGGCUAAUACCUGGGGCACAUGACGGUACCGUAAGAAUAAGCACCGGCUAACUACGUGCCAGCAGCCGCGGUAAUACGUAGGGUGCGAGCGUU
rnacentral:rRNA from 1 species